UCAACAGACAGCUUAGAUGAAAAAGGUGCAGAAAGAGAAGGAAAGAAAAAAUGAAGAUACAAAAACAGCUUUUAAUUUUAACAAGCUUGGUUUUCACCCUGACAGAUAUGAUUCUGACCAACACUUCCUGCAGGAAAAACAUGGGAAAUUUGAAUGUCUCUACAGAACAGAUUUGGCAGGCUCUCCAUGCAGGGUGGCCACCAGAUUGCUGUGAAAAGAAGUCCGGACUGUGCAUCCCCAGGUGUUUUAAGGCUCCAAAGUUUGAACGGACCUCAGGCUCUGCUACAGUCUUGGGGUCCCUAGGUAUACUUGGAGUGAAGACCCUCUGUCUAACAUUCCCUCCUGAGAAUUGCAAUCACAUGGCCUAGUGCAGCACUUGCCUCUGAAGUUCACAUACUGAAGGAAGAGAAACUACUGCUUCCCUUCUCCAGCCUGCCCAGCACCCAGUUUGGCUCGGUGUCUCACAGUGUACGCAAAGAGUGCCCCAAUAUAUAACUAAUGCAUGCGAUAAUGUGGCUUACUGUUUAUACAUGAAAGUGGCCAUUCUUUAUAUUUGUUGUAAUGCAAACUAUAUAAUGGCUUUACAUAUAUUAAUGUGAACCUCCUAACAUGCCUGGAGGGCAGUGUUUGUUGCAAAGCCAGAUAAAGGGCAACAAUUUUAAGAGAAAACAGUCUAUAUUAACAAAGUUUGCAUGUAAUGACCGGAUUCCUCUAAGCUCCAGGGAUGGGAAAGAUUAUUUGUCAGAUGCCUUUUAGUUACAGACAAAUUUCUGGAGAAAUAAUUAGGUUUGUAACACUGUGGCCAGCUUGUCUUCCCAUUGAUCAGGGAGCUAACACUGGAUUGCCUUCAGGGCUGUCAACUGCAAACUGAAUAGUAGCUCAGAAAGGACAGAUAAAACAAGUUGUUAUUUAGCCUGGUCAUUAUCCAGCUUUUAUUGUGCUUGGCAGAUCUUCUCUUUUUGUUAGAUCAACUAAAGAUGUCAAAACUAGCCCUUACUUUCAUUGAACUGUGGUAGGCGACAUCAGAGUGUAUAGACAAUACCUGCCACCAAUAGUAUCUGCCAUCAACAUCUAGCUGUCUAAUGGCUUUCCUGACAUUCUAAAGAUACCCAUGUUAAAUCCCAUAAUAAUGCACCUCUUAUUAGCCCUCACUCUCAGAAGAAAAAAUGUUUGGGGCACCCAAAAGCUUGCAGUAAAAGUAACCAGGUGUCAUAAAGCUUCACUUGAUUAUACCAGGGGUAGGGAGAAAAAUACUCGAAAGUCCAAAAAUGGCAUAACAACAAUUGAAAUGUUUUUGACAAGCAUUUCCACAAUGAUUCGUUUCUAGGGGACAGCCUGACCAUAACCUUUUGCCAGAAAACGUUUAUAACCAUGCGUCUCACAGGUUAGAGUGAGACCUUUAAAGCCUUUAAUGUAGUUCUAAGCAGGUCAGCAAAGUAUAAUGGCAAACCAAAUAGAGUUUUUGAUAAUUGUUUCUUUAAAAAAAUACAGUUCUAAGUUAUAGCAUGCGUUCUCGGAAAGGUUAGCUGUACUUUAAAGCAGCAAAUCCUUGCAACCAAUUUUCAGUGGAUAUUGCUGGAAAUAGGUCAGUUAAUUCAGUGUCUGAAUUAUUAAGACUGAGCUUCUGUGCUUCUCUUAAUUUCAGUGAGAGCCUGCAAAACAUUAUACAAGUGAAUUGGGAUUUAUUCUGUCAUUACUUUAGCCGUUAUUCAGACAGGGAGCACUAUAUUGUUUACAUAGUAUAAUAUGCUACCUUAAAUACUAGGGAUCAUAUGUUUUUUUCAGGGACAGAGUAGCUGGAUGUUUUGGCUAAAAUGAACAGCAGAAAAAUAGCUUAAAAUGUUAACUUUAAAUUGUCAUCAUUAUAGUGCAGAGUGAAGAUUUCCUAUUUCUUAUAUACACAAAGAAUUUCUGACUCUGCUGUAAACCUUUCCCCUAAACAUCUGAAGGGUUAGCUACAUGGUAGAUAGAACUGGGGGGAAAAAACUUGGUUAUAAUUAACACCUUUAGUUAUUUCGGUUCAAGUCUGCCUGUGGACACUCCUAUUUCAU